rnacentral:rRNA from 1 species
GCGCACCAGUCGCGAAAACUUGUCAAUGCGCGAAAGCGUGAACGGGCUACCCCGAGUGCCGUCCGCUGAGGAUGGCUUUUCUCUGCUGUAAGAAGGUUGAGGAAUAAGGAGAGGGCAAGUCUGGUGUCAGCCGCCGCGGUAAUACCAGCUCUCCGAGUGGUAGGGAUGAUUAUUGGGCUUAAAGCGUCCGUAGCUGGCCUUUCAAGUCUCUUGUUAAAUCCAGCGAUUCAAUCGUUGGACUGCGGGAGAUACUGUUAGGCUAGGAGGCGUGAGAGGCCGACGGUAUUUCCGGGGUAGGGGUAAAAUCCUAUAAUCCCGGGAAGAGCACCAGUGGCGUAGGCGGUCGGCUAGCACGCGCUCGACAGUGAGGGACGAAAGCUGGGGGAGCGAACCGGAUUAGAUACCCCGGUAGUCC